rnacentral:misc_RNA from 1 species
GUGUCUGUUUUUAUGUAAUUUAAUUCAGAAAAUCGCUCCGGCGUGAUUAAAAAAACGCGGCGGGACUGGUCCCGCCCCGUAUAACGGUGCGCAUGGGUGUCAAUAAGGGGUUGUCAUGCAAUGAUGAUCCUUCCGCAGGUUCACCUACGGAAA